rnacentral:rRNA from 1 species
GAAUGCUGACAUAAGUAACGAUAAAGCGGGUGAAAAGCCCGCUCGCCGGAAGACCAAGGGUUCCUGUCCAACGUUAAUCGGGGCAGGGUGAGUCGACCCCUAAGGCGAGGCCGAAAGGCGUAGUCGAUGGGAAACAGGUUAAUAUUCCUGUACUUGGUGUUACUGCGAAGGGGGGACGGAGAAGGCUAUGUUGGCCGGGCGACGGUUGUCCCGGUUUAAGCGUGUAGGCUGGUUUUCCAGGCAAAUCCGGAAAAUCAAGGCUGAGGCGUGAUGACGAGGCACUACGGUGCUGAAGCGACAAAUGCCCUGCUUCCAGGAAAAGCCUCUAAGCAUCAGGUAACAUCAAAUCGUACCCCAAACCGACACAGGUGGUCAGGUAGAGAAUACCAAGGCGCUUGAGAGAACUCGGGUGAAGGAACUAGGCAAAAUGGUGCCGUAACUUCGGGAGAAGGCACGCUGAUAUGUAGGUGAAGCGACUUGCUCGUGGAGCUGAAAUCAGUCGAAGAUACCAGCUGGCUGCAACUGUUUAUUAAAAACACAGCACUGUGCAAACACGAAAGUGGACGUAUACGGUGUGACGCCUGCCCGGUGCCGGAAGGUUAAUUGAUGGGGUUAGCGGUAACGCGAAGCUCUUGAUCGAAGCCCCGGUAAACGGCGGCCGUAACUAUAACGGUCCUAAGGUAGCGAAAUUCCUUGUCGGGUAAGUUCCGACCUGCACGAAUGGCGUAAUGAUGGCCAGGCUGUCUCCACCCGAGACUCAGUGAAAUUGAACUCGCUGUGAAGAUGCAGUGUACCCGCGGCAAGACGGAAAGACCCCGUGAACCUUUACUAUAGCUUGACACUGAACAUUGAGCCUUGAUGUGUAGGAUAGGUGGGAGGCUUUGAAGUGUGGACGCCAGUCUGCAUGGAGCCGACCUUGAAAUACCACCCUUUAAUGUUUGAUGUUCUAACGUGGGCCCCUUACCGGGGUUGCGGACAGUGUCUGGUGGGUAGUUUGACUGGGGCGGUCUCCUCCUAAAGAGUAACGGAGGAGCACGAAGGUUGGCUAAUCCUGGUCGGACAUCAGGAGGUUAGUGCAAUGGCAUAAGCCAGCUUGACUGCGAGCGUGACGGCGCGAGCAGGUGCGAAAGCAGGUCAUAGUGAUCCGGUGGUUCUGAAUGGAAGGGCCAUCGCUCAACGGAUAAAAGGUACUCCGGGGAUAACAGGCUGAUACCGCCCAAGAGUUCAUAUCGACGGCGGUGUUUGGCACCUCGAUGUCGGCUCAUCACAUCCUGGGGCUGAAGUAGGUCCCAAGGGUAUGGCUGUUCGCCAUUUAAAGUGGUACGCGAGCUGGGUUUAGAACGUCGUGAGACAGUUCGGUCCCUAUCUGCCGUGGGCGCUGGAGAACUGAGGGGGGCUGCUCCUAGUACGAGAGGACCGGAGUGGACGCAUCACUGGUGUUCGGGUUGUCAUGCCAAUGGCACUGCCCGGUAGCUAAAUGCGGAAGAGAUAAGUGCUGAAAGCAUCUAAGCACGAAACUUGCCCCGAGAUGAGUUCUCCCUGACUCCUUGAGAGUCCUGAAGGAACGUUGAAGACGACGACGUUGAUAGGCCGGGUGUGUAAGCGC